AUGCUUUUUAGACACCUUAUAUCUUUUGUUUCUAACAGGCAAUUUGAAAUGGUUGUUCCAACAGAAGAUUCUGUCAUUACAGAGAUGACAUCGACUUUAAGAGAUUGGGGCACAAUGUGGAAACAACUUUAUGUGAGAAACGAAGGGGAUCUCUUUCACCGAUUAUGGCACAUAAUGAAUGAAAUUCUAGACCUGCGACGGCAGGUCUUGGUGGGACAUCUCACUCAUGAUAGGAUGAAGGAUGUCAAACGGCACAUCACUGCCCGCCUGGACUGGGGCAACGAGCAACUGGGAUUAGACUUGGUGCCAAGAAAGGAAUAUGCAAUGGUAGAUCCAGAAGAAAUCAGUAUUACAGAGCUAUAUAGACUUGUAAGUACCCCAGUUCUCUUAGUUAAUUGAUAUUUUCACAGUAGAUGCAGCAGCAGUAGAUAUAACCUA
rnacentral:lncRNA from 11 species